UACGGAGGAUCCAAGCGUUAUCCGGAUUCAUUGGGUUUAAAGGGUGCGUAGGCGGAAUGAUAAGUCAGUGGUGAAAUCCUGCAGCUUAACUGCAGAACUGCCAUUGAUACUGUCAAUCUUGAGUAUAUUUGAUGAGGGCGGAAUGUGUCAUGUAGCGGUGAAAUGCUUAGAUAUGACACAGAACACCGAUUGCGAAGGCAGCUCACAAAAACUAUAACUGACGCUGAGGCACGAAAGCGUGGGUAUCAAACAGG
rnacentral:rRNA from 1 species